UACGGAGGGGGCUAGCGUUGUUCGGAAUUACUGGGCGUAAAGCGCGCGUAGGCGGAUCUGCAAGUCGGGGGUGAAAUCCCGAGGCUCAACCUCGGAACUGCCUUCGAUACUGCGGGUCUCGAGUCCGGGAGAGGUGAGUGGAAUUCCUAGUGUAGCGGUGAAAUGCGCAGAUAUCAGGAGGAACACCGAUGGCGAAGGCAGGUCUCUGGGCCGAUACUGACGCUGAGGAGCGAAAGCGUGGGGAGCGAACAGG
rnacentral:rRNA from 1 species